rnacentral:rRNA from 1 species
ACAUGCAUACAACAUGGAGUUAAUGCAUCAAAUCCCAUUAGAACUCUUCAGUUAAGCGUGCUCAGGCUAGAGUAGUACUGGGAUGGGUGACCGCCUGGGAAGUCCUAGUAUUUUACAUGCC